GACGAAGGGGGCUAGCGUUGUUCGGAAUUACUGGGCGUAAAGCGCGUGUAGGCGGUUGCCCAAGUCGGGUGUGAAAGCCUUGAGCUCAACUCAAGAAAUGCACUCGGUACUGGGUGACUAGAGGACCGGAGAGGAUAGUGGAAUUCCCAGUGUAGUGGUGAAAUACGUAGAGAUUGGGAAGAACACCAGUGGCGAAGGCGGCUCACUGGUCCGGUACUGACGCUGAGGUGCGAAAGCGUGGGGAGCAAACAGG
rnacentral:rRNA from 1 species